UACGUAGGGUGCGAGCGUUAAUCGGAAUUACUGGGCGUAAAGCGUGCGCAGGCGGUUCGUUAAGUUCGAUGUGAAAGCCCUGGGCUCAACCUGGGGAAUUGCAUUGGAUACUGGCAAGCUAGAGUGCGGUAGAGGAUGGCGGAAUUCCCGGUGUAGCAGUGAAAUGCGUAGAGAUCGGGAGGAACACCAGUGGCGAAGGCGGCCAUCUGGGGACAACACUGACGCUGAGGCACGGAAAGCGUGGGGAGCAAACAGG
rnacentral:rRNA from 1 species